rnacentral:rRNA from 1 species
AACGAACGCUGGCGGCGUGCUUAACACAUGCAAGUCAACGGGGUUAUACGGAGAAAUUGGUUUCGGCUGAUGGAUUUGUAUAACUUAGUGGCGGACGGGUGAGGAACACGUAGGUAACCAAUCCUGAAGCGGGGGACAACUGCGGGAAACCGGAGCUAAUACCGCAUAAGACCACAGGCUGGGAGGCUGGUGGUAAAAGGAGCAAUUCACUUCAGGCUGGGCCUGCGGCCUAUCAGGUAGUUGGUGGGGUAAGAGCCUACCAAGCCAGAGACGGGUAGCCGGACUGAGAGGUUGAACGGCCACACUGGAACUGAGACACGGUCCAGACUCCUACGGGAGGCAGCAGUGGGGAAUUUUGCGCAAUGGGGGAAACCCUGACGCAGCGACGCCGCGUGGAGGAUGAAGGUUUUCGGAUUGUAAACUUCUUUUGUAGGGGAAAAUAGUGAUGGUACCCUACGAAUAAGCCACGGCUAACUCUGUG